rnacentral:rRNA from 1 species
GACGUAGGGGGCCAGCGUUGUUCGGAAUUACUGGGUGUAAAGGGUUCGUAGGCGGUGCGGCAAGUCGGGAGUGAAAUCUCUGGGCUUAACCCAGAGGCUGCUCCGAAACUGCUGUGCUUGAGUGUGGGAGAGGCGCGGUGGAAGUUGACAGGUGUAGCGGUGAAAUGCGUAGAUAUCUGACAGGAACACCCGUGGCGAAAGCGGCGCGCUGGACCACUAACUGACGCUGGAGGAACGAAAGCUAGGGGAGCAAACAGG